rnacentral:rRNA from 1 species
GACGAACGCUGGCGGCGUGCUUAACACAUGCAAGUGGAGCGACGAACCGGGCUUCGGCCCGGGGCAGAGCCGCGAACGGGUGAGUAACACGUGGGUAACGUGCCCCGACGAUCGGGACGAACCCGGGAAACCCGGGCGUAAUACCGAAUGAACCCUUCUGACCCAAGUCGGACGGGGAAAGGGUAGCUUCGGCUUCCGCGUCGGGAUCGGCCCGCGGCCCAUUAGCUUGUUGGUGAGGUAACGGCCCACCAAGGCUUCG